rnacentral:rRNA from 1 species
UACGGAGGGUGCGAGCGUUAUCCGGAAUUACUGGGUUUAAAGGGUGCGUAGGCGGCUCUGUAAGUCAGGAGUGAAAGUUUGCGGCUCAACCGUAAAAUUGCUUUUGAUACUGCAUGGCUGGAAUUAGGAUGAGGUCAGCGGAAUGUGGCAUGUAGCGGUGAAAUGCAUAGAUAUGCCAUAGAACACCAAUUGCGAAGGCAGCUGGCUAGACCUGGAUUGACGCUGAGGCACGAAAGCGUGGGGAGCGAACAGG